UACGUAGGGGGCAAGCGUUGUCCGGAUUUAUUGGGCGUAAAGAGCGUGUAGGCGGCCAAGCAGGUCCGCUGUGAAAACUCGAGGCUCAACCUCGAGACGUCGGUGGAAACCGUUUGGCUAGAGUCCGGAAGAGGAGAGUGGAAUUCCCGGUGUAGCGGUGAAAUGCGCAGAUAUCGGGAAGAACACCCGUGGCGAAGGCGACUACCUGGCCUGUUCUUGACGCUGAGGCGCGAAAGCUAGGGGAGCAAACGGGG
rnacentral:rRNA from 1 species